GUCUUUAAAGAGUAAUUUCCUUCUGGCUAACUUUAGGACACAAACAGCUGCAAUAAUAACAGCCGAGAAUUCAUCUGUGAUUAGUUUGAUGGUCAAUGGUAUCACAGUUGAUACAGUGAAUUCUAACACAUCUGUGAAGUACUUAGACAUCAGCAGAUGCAGACACUCAGGUGUUUUGUAUAAAUAUGGUGAAGUGGUGAGCUCUGAUCCAGAUACCUGCUCCUGUCUAACCUGUGAUGAUACUGCUGUCCUCAGAGUCACUGGCUGUCCACGCACUGAACGAUGUCAAGGCAAC